rfam:Schistosoma haematobium scaffold165_17, whole genome shotgun sequence.
ACCCAGCUGACGAGUCCCAAAUAGAACGAAGCGCAUGUACUGGAU